rnacentral:tRNA from 1 species
CGGGGCGUGGCGCAGUUUGGUAGCGCGUUCGGUUCGGGACUGAAAGGCCGCAGGUUCAAAUCCUGUCGCCCCGA